AUUGAACGCUGGCGGCAUGCCUUACACAUGCAAGUCGAACGGCAGCACGGGAGCAAUCCUGGUGGCGAGUGGCGAACGGGUGAGUAAUAUAUCGGAACGUGCCCAGUCGUGGGGGAUAACGUAGCGAAAGCUACGCUAAUACCGCAUACGAUCUACGGAUGAAAGCGGGGGAUCGCAAGACCUCGCGCGAUUGGAGCGGCCGAUAUCAGAUUAGCUAGUUGGUGGGGUAAAAGCUCACCAAGGCGACGAUCUGUAGCUGGUCUGAGAGGACGAACCAGCCACACUGGAACUGAGACACGGUCCAGACUCCUACGGGAGGCAGCAGUGGGGAAUUUUGGACAAUGGGCGAAAGCCUGAUCCAGCCAUGCCGCGUGCAGGAUGAAGGCCUUCGGUUGUAAACUGCUUUUGUACGGAACGAAAAGACUCUUUCUAAUAAAGAGGGUCCAUGACGGUACCGUAAGAAUAAGCACCGGCUAACUACGUGCCAGCAGCCG
rnacentral:rRNA from 1 species